ensembl:lncRNA
GGUCAUUCAGCUAUCAGGGUUGCCAGACUUCCCUUGUCUGGAAGAGAUAGUAUCUUGGCUUGGACCACGGUUACUGUAUCUCUGAGCAGAAAGAGUUCAGGAGGCUCCAUUGGCUGAAGCAGAGAGGAACUUCCCAUUUCUUGUUAGAAGCUGGUGGAUGUAAAAUGUGAGCAGCAGGAUAAGGAACUAAAGAAUGACGCUGACUCUGAGCCACAGGCUGAAGAGUGGGGAGUAAACUAGGGGAAAGAGCAGCAACAAUCGUGUUGGAGAUCUGGGGAGACUGAAGGAGUGGAGUGGUGGGCUGUUUUACGGGGAAGUCAAAGUUAAGGCUGGCCAGCUGAUGGUAACUGCAUGGAGGGCAAUGUUGAGAUGCAAGAAAGACUUUGAUGUGAGCCUACAAUACACCUGGAAGGAUCCCACACCUAGAUGGGUAACAUCAGUCAACGCUCUUCCACCGGUUGCUGGGAUAUUGGGUCAGCCAGCCCUGGUUCCCUUCAGAUCACGUGAGCAUGGAACAGUCUGACCCACCUGGGUAAUCUAGAAGUCAUAUUUGGAAAAGCUCUUUGUAGACCUAAUUCACUGCUUUUUCUGGUGUUUAUAGCUUAUUGAGCAGAUUAAUAUUGGUAAAUAUUAAUAGGGUCAUCUGGAAAGAAAUAGGCACUCUAGCCUUUGCCAGCAAACCACUUAUGCACAUGCUUGGAGACAAGCACUCAUACUAAGGUAAAUGGAAUUGCUCAUAAGCUUGGUGCUGACUGUGUGCUCAGAGCUUCUGGGUUUGGAGAGACUUCUGAAACUCAUUGCUAACGAACGGAAAUCAGAUCCUAAUAUGAGAAUAGAUUUUCAUGAAAUAAAAUUAAAAGCUACUAAAAGGCAGAAGUCAGGAUGAGAGAGGAAAUAAUCUAAUUUGAAUGGCGUUCAUAACUUCAAGAACUACUUGAAGGAAAGGUCCCAUAUUCCUUUCCUGCCUUCUGACCGGCUCACUUGAAAGCACUCAGGCAGGUUGGCUCAAUGCACUGGGGACAGUGUGUGGUGUCUGGAUGGACUAUGCUGGAGAAGAAGGCAGGAAGGACUCUUCUCUUGCUCUUCUCUUCUCUUGCUGAACUGGUCGAAAUAAGAAUUUGAAGCAGUUUGUAAGCAAUUUGAAGCACUUCCCUUAGAGCAGUGCUGCUCACUGGGAAGCAGUGAGCAGAUCUGGGUGUAGCGAGUGGUUAUUUUAUGUGCACCUCAAUCCUGUUGGACCUUGAAGUAUCCAAAUGAAAAAUUACUGACCUGUUUUGGAUAUAGUUACAGCAAUGCUUGGACAGAGAGAAUUUGGAUAAAAGCACGUCUGACCUCCUCUUGCCAGGAAUAGUCCAGGAGUUUGCAAAAGCUAAAACAGGUUCUGGUUCAAUACGUGACUUUGUCCCCAAGAGGAAGAUGCAUGAGAUGUUAGAAUGCUCUUAGUGCUAUUUCUCCCUUUCCAAAAAGGAACAUGAAGCACCACUGAGAACUUACUGCUCUGCUGAAGGAAAUCAGUACAAACACAGGGAUUUUUCCAGAAAAGUCCAGUAUGAACUGAUAGGAUUCCCACUCUUCUCAGAGGGAAGCUGCAUAAUCCUGGCCCUUGGUUUGGUUGCAAAAAUAACAUCCAGUAAUGAAAUGAAAACAAGCUGAAUGGCUGCAUUGAGCGGAGGAGGGCAGAGGUAGUCUCAGACAGCUGGAGCAUGUCUGGGCCAGUGUCUCACUGCUUUUCUCCCUGCUAGUUCAGUGCCACUGCAGGAAUACAGACAAUGCUGGCUACGGCUGCUUCAUAUUUGAUUUCCACACUUAAAUUCUGCUUGUUAAGUAAAACCCCAUUGUCAGGCUGGCAGGCAGCCACGCUCCCUCCCCAGCCUUGCCUCCUAGCUUCUCUGGUUGGGUGCUCAGAGCCAUCUAGCAAAGACCAGGUCUCGCUGUUCUGGUGCUGCUUGUAGCAUCACAACAAAACCUUUGGGCCCUCAUCAAUCUGUGUCUGAGGGCGGGCAGAAGCCCUGCAGGAAAGGAACGGGGUUUGAAAUGGCCUCAGCUGGGUGCUGGGUGAGCUGUAGGCUGUGCUGGGAGAGCUGGUGGCUGGGCACAGCUCUGGGAUUACUGCUGGAUAGCCUGUGAGGAGUGGAGCUCCUGGGCUCCAUGGGACCAUUAGGUCAGGGUGGAGCAUCCCGCAGUUGUAGGAUUUGCUGGCAGGGUCCGUGGGUGGUGACAGCGCAGGGCAGGCAGAGAAGCCCUGCAGAUUGGAAGCAGAGCAGUGGCUGUGCUCGUAACAAAGGAUCGCUUCAUACCCUCUGGGAAAUACCAGGCAGGGCAUGAAAAUUAUGAAUAAUAUUAAUAAAGCUGGGAGGAUUACUAAAUCCAACAGCUGUCCAGCCCUUCGUGCAAGCACUUCUGGCCCUCCCACCUCCUCACGAGCUGGUGCUGUGGCCCAAUGUGUGCCAUUGCCUGGGCACUGCUCAGUCAGCACCAAUGACAUCCAGGCAGGCAGUGCUGUGCCCCCAGAGGAUGGCUGCAGUGUCGUGGUGGGGAGCAGCAGUGUUCUGACAGCAGAUCCUUCAACUGCCCCAGAGGAGCCCACCUCUGGACUGUAGUCAUGGAAACUGCUACGUGAGUGGAUUCAGGACUGGCUCCAAACAAAGUUAAAGGGGGGAAAAAAGCCCCAGGGGACUUCUGCAAGUGAGAAAGGUGAUGUUUUCCUCAGCAGAAUAAGGUUUGGGGAUGUCUGGAGCAGCAGCGAGGCCUCCAGCUGCUGGGAAUGGAGGGAUGGAUGCUGUGCUUCCUGCCAGCAGCUGGGCUGGUUCUGCUCUGGGCUGCCCUAACUCCUGUCUAGCCAUCUCCUCCUCUCCUGUCACAUUGUCAGUGUGCUGCUGUCAGGCCUGACCAUUGAGCUGUGAUGGGCUCUCACACCUCUUCUGCUCGGGGAGUGGAGCUGUGUCUGUGUGGUCUUUAACUCUGCAUGUUAUUACCAGUGCAGCAUUCACAGUUGAAGAGCAGCAAGGCAAACCUUCAGGUUCUGCUUCCUCUAAUAGCCGAAAUCAAGCUGUAUAACUUCUGUAAAGUUUUGAUCAGCCCUGAGGAUGAGAGGCCCUGACCACGUGUGCUGCAAGUUUGCUCGUUUAGUUGGAAUAGAAUAACAGCAUCUCCAUGUCCAUUCCAUCAGCCAUAUGGAUGAGGGUACCAGCAAGAACAGCCCCCAGAGGAAGCAGGCAGUUACACGUGAGGACCGAUGAUGGGGCAGGCCAAUGAAAAUGGCUUUAUGCCUCUCCGUGUGCUGCCCCUGAACUACCACUUGAAAGAAACAACCAUCCCCAUUGGGGACGUCAGCAGAGCCACCCUGCUGGCACUGACUUGGCUUGGGGGCCCUUGCCCUGACAAACCAGGGAGCAGGGAUGGAGCCCAAGAGGGGAGAGCCCAAAGAGAACCGCAGGCAGCACAGCAAGGUUAUUUUAAGGUCUGCUUCACUCUGUCACCACUCCACACAAGCAACGUGUUUGGAUUCAGCUAUUCAUCCAAAGUGCUGUCAAAGGCACAGCAGACUUGCCUUACUCUCUCACCAGCUCUCCAUCAGGGCAGGGUGUUUCAUCCCUGCCUUUAUUUCAGAACCAAUUCUGACUGGGGAGGAGUGCCUGUAUUUUUUUUAUGAGCAGACAUAAACAGGCACACUUUCAUUCAUUGAAAUGCACCAGCAGUGACUUUCAGUAAGUGAUCUUCACAGUGUAAGCAUCAGCAUCUUGGGCCCACAUGUAACUUAGCUCCUCGUUUCAGGGUGGUGAAUGGAAAGGAGAACUGAAGAUGUGCUAAAAGCAAGAGUCUGCCUACGAGAAGGCAGAAAGCAGCACGAUCUGGGCUGUGCCUUCUGCUGUAGCAUAGCUCAGUAUGGACACUGAUCCAGGACCUUGAGCAAUAGAGCCCUGCGGUUUGGUUUCCCUUCUGGCACACUAAUUGCGUUAGGAUCUAGGUUUAUUCAUGGCACUUUCCAUUUAUGAUUUAGGGAAUUUGAAGAAUACUGUUCUUGAGGCUGAGCCUGAAGUUAUAAUCUUGGCAUAUCCAUACUAUAAAAUUCCCGUGGAUAAAAGCAGAAACAUCUGGAUUCAUGAGUGGAUGUUGGCUAGGUCCACCAGGAAAAAAAGGCCUUCAAGGGAUCCUAGGGGGUUCUAGCCAGGAUAAAUAAUACAACAAAAUAAGAGUGCUAUUAGGAGUAACUGUAAUGCGAAAGCUGAAUUAUAAGAUGAGGGCUAAGCCCUUCUCACAAUCUGCUUUUCCAGCUAAGAGCCCUUCAAUUUACACUUAGUGCACAUGUGGCUCGUGGAACAAAGAAAAAGCUGAAGAAGGAUGAAAGCAACACGGAUUAUUCAGCAUUGCUGGUUUAGCUCCAGGCACAUCAUUUAAAUGAGUAGAUGAUCAGUUUCCAGUUUGUUUUAAAUUCUCUGGCAAGAAAUUUUAUUCUCUAUCCCAAACUUGGAUGUGCUUAAAGCUGUUCUUUUUGCCUUUUUUUUUUUUUUUUUUUUUAAAGCAGCUUGGCCAUUUUGUUAUAUUCCUUAAGGUGAGACUGUGAGGGGGUUCUUGCAGGGGUCAACCGAACUGUGGGACUGGAGGCACAGGCUGACUGUGUUCCAAAGGGUCCAUGUCCCACCUCUCAGCCUGGGGGGACCUCAGGGCUGGAGAACAGCUACUCCUUUCCCUCCUCCGCCCUGGGAGGCCAAGGGCCCUGCCUUGCAUAGCCAGACAUCAAACCCAAGCUGGGCAGCACCUGAAGUUGAGGGAAGUGGUUGUAGCAGCCGUGUUCCACAGAUCUGCAGCCUCUUCGGUUGCACCACUUGUGGGUGAAAACCUUAUCAGUGAGUCCUUCUCCCCUCUUCUCGUUCUCAUCUUCUCCGUGCCAGCAUCCGACUGGCUGAAUGGCUCCUGAGGAGCUGGUCUGUUGAUGCCACUCCUGUAGGUGUUUUUCCAUGGGAAGGCUUUCAGCUGUUCCCUGGAGAGAUGUCUCCCGUUGUGGUGUACUGCCAAUAAUUAAUGCACUCUGAAGACUGCCACAGGGCUCUGUGUGGUGUACAAACAUUUGGGGCUGGGCAAUACUCAAAGCAUGACUGCAAGCAUCAGUGAUGUGCAAAUGACCAUGUGUACACUGCCUUACAUUUUAUAUGAUGGAUAAUCUUAAUUGCACUGUAAGGACUGGGAGUUUGGCCUUAAAUAGCCUCGACACAUCCAGGAAAGCCAUUAAAAGUAUGUCCCAGUGUUUCUUAGGACAUUAUUCUCAGCAGGUAUUUGUUAUUGUUACUUAAUUUAUUGUCAACAUCUGUCGCUGCUGCUGCACAUGGGCUGGCAUCCUCCAUCAGGGCACUGCGUUCUGCUAGCGGGGCGUAGCAUCGUGACUGCCAAAGCAAAAUGAGGAGAUGAAUCUUCUCAUGGAUGCUAGAAAAUAUUUGGUUCAGAUCAGCUGCUAUCGCUGCUGCUGACCACGUUUGUGGUGGUGUAUUCCUCCACCCAAUUUGAAGCAGGCAAAGAGAUCUGCUGAAACCGUGGGGCUCUCGGUUAGAAGCAAACAGCCCGAGGAGCUGAGAAAUGAAGCAGAGCUAAAUUUAGAAUCUCAGAUAGGAAAAUAUCUCUAUCUUCAGCACUCCGGGUUUUUCUCUUCUGCUCUGCACAAAGCACACCUUGGUUUGCGUGGCUGUUUGCAGAUCGCACCGACUCAAAGAAGGCUUUGGCUUGUGGAAAAAGAAGGCUUUGAUGUCCUCAGUAAACAAAUAGCAGUGUUAAUAGAUCUUCAGUUCUCGCUAGAGAGCUGCAAACAGCAGUGUUUGAAGAAAAAUAAACAUCCUGAGGUUGAUGGAAGGGUAGGAAGGGCAUAAAGUACUGCUGUCAAAUCCUUGGUGUGAGCCCAUCAGGAAUGUCAGAAAUGAAAAUGCCAUGAAAAAAGCUGUCGUUACUUUCUCUCUCCUUCUGGAUCAGAAGGAAAAUAAACUGGCGCAUGGUUUACCAGCCACGCGAUGGGAAUAAAUGGGUAUAAAACCCCAUGGCUGCAUCGUUACCACCCAAAUCACAAGAACGCUGCAACAAUGCUGAGAAUUGCCUAGAGGUUUUGCCCUCCCACCAUUGGGGUUUGGGGAGACAACUCACUCUGCCUCCAGCCCUUCCUGACCCUUCACCUGCUGGGAUCCCAGGGCCUCAUCCCCUAAUCCUGAUCCACUCUGGAGCAGUGCAGCCCACGAGGAGGUGCAGGUGUGUGUCUGCUCGCGGUAAGGAUGGGAAUUUCACAGCCUGUGGCUACCUGAACUUUUGCUCUCUGAGACUCAUCGUGCUCGUCUCAUUGCAGCCUGGGAAAUGCAAAAGCUUGGGAAAUGAAACAAAGCAAAGAGCUAAACAGAGAUCUCAGUCGUGCCAGCGUAGCCCUUGGGAUGUUAAUUUGCACUUACACCGUUCUGAUAAUCCAGAUUUGGUUCAGAAUGAGAAAGUUUGGGUUUCCCCUGUAAAGGGAAAUCGAAACUCAGCAGGUUGUGAUAAUAAUAAAUGCACCGAUAUUUACUGCAAAUUGGAGCUAAGCAAGAGCCUCCACGGCCUCUCACUUCAGUUUCAUGUAGUUCUAUGCAUUUGUCACUUUAAAAAGACUUCAGAGGAUCUAAAAAAUAAGUAAUGCAGAUGUAGCUGAUUUUUUUAAGUCUCUGUAACAUCACUGACAUCUUCCCUUCGAUAAAGCUUUUUUCUGCUUGCCAAAGCUCCGUUCCAAACGGGACUGGCAACAUUUUAUCCAGCGAACCUGAAGAAAAAAGAGAAGAAAAAAAAAAAAAAAGAAGAGAAACAGGGAAAAAAGCAAAGAAUUCAGAAAUAGAAUGCUUAUAAUCCCAAAGGUAAUAAAUCUUCCUCUGGUUGCUUCAUACAAGUUCUUUGCUGUUGUUGUGAGCCUCGGUCUGCUGGACUCACAGCAAGGGAGGCAGGGAUGUUUCCUGAUAACCAGCAGCUCCUUAGAGACCUUGGCCAUGGCAUGUGAGAACUGCUUACCUGGACACAUAAAGCAUGAUUCUGUUUAUCUUCAGAUGAUCCUGAAGUUACAGAAGUUAUUACAGUGUAUUCAGUAAGGCCCCUUCGCUCCCAAUAUAUAUAUACAACAUAUAUUUUUGUGUAUAUUUAUAUACAAAUGAGAACUGUUGCACUUCACUUUUAGCUCAGACAGCCCAUCCCGUGAGUCCUGAACUCCUCCUCCUCCUUCCCAUGAGGACAGACCCCUCCGUCUGUCAGGACAGAGGCAGGAAGGCCUUUUAUUUCCCAGGGAUUAGGGCUGGGUGCCUCCCAGUGCUCAUCAGACGGGAUCCCUCGCAAUACUCGUGCUGCAUACCUUAUCAUAUGCCAUCCUCGGGGCAUGUCACUGGUAACCACCAAACUCAUUUCAGACCUGCGGCCCCUUUGGAGCGCUGCCAUCAGUCAUCAGCUACCACCACGUGCCCUGGGGCACAUCCUUGCUUCUCCCACAGGAGCUGCAGUGGGACUUGGAUGGGUCGGGAGUACAAUGGUGGCCCCUCAGGUCACUGUGCUGUUUGUGUCCCCUCUGGACAGUGGGGAAGGCAGAGUGACAGUUUUAGCACGUGGUGAUUUUACCGCUCACCCUACCCCUCUAACGAUCCCAUAACUCACCCUGCUGGGGGGGAUUUGGCACCGAGCUGAUUUAUGGCAUGGUGCAGUGGGCAGUGUGGUGUGUGUUCCUUCCAACAGCACGGACCCUUCCUAUCAAAUAAUAUUCCACUCCUGGUUUAAUUAAAACACAAUUAGCAAGGCUUUCGGUUCUGUUAAAUAUGCACAGGCUUCUACUAAAUUAACAUUAAUCUCCGCUCGGUGUGCAGGUCGCCGAGGUGACAUGUGGAAAAUUACAUGUUAUGGGCUCAGGAAUGCGACUUGGAGGAUGACUUCAUGUUCCUGAAUGAACAUAUCGGCGUGCCAGAUGUGCUGGUGCCUGACCCCUUCGGAGGCUCCCAGAGAUCACAUGUAGCUUAAAAAUGUAAUUUCAUGCAUGCGGAAAGAAGAAAGAGAGCCUAAUGGCUUUGUCACUUAGCUCUCCAUUUAAUUUGGGAAGGGCAGUGGGAAUGUCUUAAUAACACAAAGCAUGGCUCUGAUCCCCGUGCUGGCAGAGUGCUCCCAAUAGACGCCCUGAUGCCUUUCUCAUGGCCAGGAGGGUCGGCUAUCCAUAUUUGCUGGCUAAGAACUAGAAGUUAUACUUCUUUCCUCACUGGGGGAUGAUCGUCACACUGAGGCUGACACGAAUUCAUCCCUUGCUUUGAGCCACUGACUUCUUCAUGAAUGACUUCAUCUGGGGGGAAAAGCAACAAAUGUGAGCGUAGGAAAAGAAGUCGUAUUUAUAAGUUAGAAAACAAGGUGGCAUUCAAGCCUUCCCCUUCUCAGACGUCCCUUCUUCCCAGCCCCACAGCUCGCUCCCCAACUCCCGCUGAAGGGAGCACCGAGAGCGGUCCAUCCGGCUCUGCCUUUAAUAGCCGUGUCCCCAAAACUAAUUACACAACGGCGUUCCGUUCUGUACACUCGUGCUCUUCCUCUCCUCCCAGUGCAUUCCACGCACCUACACAGUCAUACUAAUUAGCUCACGUAAUAAACUUCAACGUGGCACCGAUCUGUUCGCAGGGCGUUGCCAGACGGAGCCGGGUUUGGAAAGCAGCCAUUCGUGGAUGUUUUGUUUGGAAAAGCCCCACGGACGUUACCGGGCUGAGAGUGGCGCUGAAUCCACAACGGGAGCUGUAAUUGAAGGAUACAAAUGGUUUUGCUUCAAUAGCCUUUAACGACGUCCCCGGAGGAGCUGUGCAGUGCUGAGGCCGUGGCUGUGGUGCUCCCAGAGAUGCCCGUUCUCUGCGUGCACAUCUCACCCAAGCGCUGCUGACGAGCACUGGAGCUUCCAGCUAUAUCCCUGAUCAACGCUAGAUGUUGCUAUGCUGCUACUCAUAUAAGCUAUACAUUAGCCAGGCUUUCAGAUGCUCUUCACUGCCAUUUCCUCUUUCCUGUUUCUGCUGUUCACACUGCUC